rnacentral:rRNA from 1 species
GGAGCAUGUUGCUUAAUUCGAGGCAACGCGAAGAACCUUACCUGGGUUUGACAUUUAGGGAAAAGCCACAGAGAUGUGGUGUCCUUCGGGGCCCUAAACAGGUGGUGCAUGGCUGUCGUCAGCUCGUGUCGUGAGAUGUUGGGUUAAGUCCCGCAACGAGCGCAACCCUUAUCCUAUGUUGCCAGCACGUAAUGGUGGGGACUCGUGGGAGACUGCCGGGGUCAACUCGGAGGAAGGUGGGGACGACGUCAAGUCAUCAUGCCCCUUAUGUCCAGGGCUGCAAACAUGCUACAAUGGCCGGUACAGAGGGCUGCGAGACCGCGAGGUUGAGCGAAUCCCACAAAGCCGGUCUCAGUUCGGAUUGGAGUCUGCAACUCGACUCCAUGAAGCCGGAGUCGCUAGUAAUCCCGGAUCAGCAACGCCGGGGUGAAUACGUUCCCGGGCCUUGUACACACCGCCCGUCACACCACGAAAGUCUGCAACACCCGAAGCCAGUGGCCCAACCCGCAAGGGAGGGAGCUGUCGAAGGUGGGGUCGGCGAUUGGGGUG